AUACCUUUCUCGGCCUUUUGGCUAAGAUCAAGUGUAGUAUCUGUUCUUAUCAGUUUAAUAUCUGAUAGUCCGAGCCUACGGGUUCGGGGGGCAAACUUAUAGGUAGGUAUAUGCUUGCCUUGAUAUUAAUUUUUUUAUAGGGGAAGGGGUCCUUAAUAUAGUAGCUUGCUACUUAGGAUUCCUUAUGCGUCACCCUAAGGGGUCCUUAAUAUAGUAGCUUGCUACUUAGGAUUCCUUAUGCGUCACCCUU
rnacentral:snRNA from 1 species